AUCCAAGCGGGAACCGGAGCGGGAGCGGAGCCAGAGCGGGAACCUGAGCUGGAGCCGAAGCUGGAGCCGGCAGUGCGGCGCACGGAGCGGAGCGAGGCAGCCAAGCCGAUCCAUGGGCACCUGCCCUGCGCAAGCCCCCCCUGACUCUCCUCAAACAUCCUGACUGCUCUACUGGAACAAGUGGCUUCACCUCCCUGUGCCUCAAUUGCCUCUGCUGACAAGUAGGUAGGAUUCUGUGGUGAACAGAGUGUUUAAGGGCUUUGGAACCAGAGGGUGGGCUUGGAAGACUUCGUAGCCGUGUGAUGUUAGGCAAGAUACUUAACCUCUCUGAGCCUCAGUUUCCCCAUCUGAAACAUGGGGAAGAUGGGUUGGGAGGUGAGGCGAUGCUUGUAGGGGGCCUAGCAUGGUGCUUGGCACUCAGCCCUCACUCAAUUCAGGUUGACCACAGGUGUCGUUCUGUGAAGCACGCAGCACCACUGGGUGCUGAGGCAGAGCGAGUUGCCCUGAGGUGGCGGCGACACGACCCCCUCCCAACCCCCCAAGCCCCCCUCCAAGGAGGCCUUUGAAUCCCCCAAGGGCUUGUUGACAUCUAACUGUGGUGCAAAUCCCUCUCUUUAGGGCCUGCCCUUUCUCAGCUGUUCCCUCCUCCCCGGGCGAUCUGCUUCCCAGCGGUGCUCGCCUCCCUACCUGUCAUCUCCAUCCAGGUUGGGAAUGACCGUAUCUGAUCAGCUCUUUCUUCUGCCCUUGACUGAUGUCCGCUGCUCACACUCUGUGCGAGGGAAUUCACACCUCCCUCCGCUCCGGGGACCGGGGCCUGGGGAGGACUGCUUUCCCUGCGGAGCAAUCAGACAGUAGACAGUCAGGUGGCUUGGGUGUUCCAGUGGUGACAGUUCAGACAGGCAGUGAAGAGCCGCAGGGGGAGCAGCCACCAGGGCAAGGAGACAGCGGGAAGUCGGAGGGGUCCCAACCCUGAACCUGCGCUGACCGUGGUGUGUUCAUCCAGGCGACUGAGCCACGAGGCACCAGAAAUGAUAACCCUUGGAGAGGAAAUGAAGCCCGUGGCUGACUGAGAGGUUAGAAGUUCAGAGCUGGAAGGGCCCCAGGAAGAGAUCUGCCCAGUCUGUGCAGCUGGGGCUUCAGACCCAGAGCAGAACCAAUGAGGCCCAAGGCCUGGGAGAGGAUGCUGGAAUCCUUGGGGUGGCAUGGAGGGUGUAGGUAACCAGGAGCAUCGUUGGGAAGAAAACAAGUGUCCAGCUUGUGGACACCCGCGUUAGUCCUGCUCACCUGUGCCCCAGCUGUGAGAACGGGGGGAUGUGGGGGGUCUGUCCAUGCUGCCUGGUGGGGACCUAGUGAGACAGGCAGAAUGGGCUGCCUCCUGGGGGCUGUUUCUACACAACCCCCCCCCCCCCCCCCCCUCUUUCUCCUUUGCCCCCCCCCCCCCCCCCCCCCUUCACCCCCCAGGGAGUCACAUCCCAGCAUCUUCCAUAAUCCUCACCUCUUCUUCCCAAAGGAGUUAAUCAGAAACUAACUUAGGAGGUUUGUGUCACCUGGUUCACAGAGUGGAGUUAGGCCGGGCAGCAACGUGAUGGGGAUACGGGCACCUCCUUCAGUCUUGGGGAAUAAUCAGUUAGACACACUCAGAUGCCUGUUACCUGAAGCCUUUGCCCUGGAAGUGCUCACAGCACAGGGUAAGGGACAAGAAGGUGGCAGCCAGCUCUCAGCCUCCUGAAGAGAGAAACUGAAGCCAGGAGGGCUUCUGAGUCCCCCUGGCACAAAGUACAGUUGUGGCUGAGAGCACGGCUUCUUGGAGCUGGACUGCCUGGGUUUAUGGCUUGUGAUUCUGGGCAGGAGAUUGACCUUUCAGAGCCUCAAUUUCCUCUUGAAAAGGGGAACAAAUAGUCUACAUCUCCCACUAUAGUUGUGAGGACUGGAGAAACAAUAUACAGGAAAACACGUGGCAGGGACGCAUGGACCCCUGGCAAUGUCCUUGCUAUGUCUGCAUUGUGAACAUGCACUGAAUGCAUGCUCUUUCCCAAGCAUAAGUAUUUUCUCUCUGGAGUCUGAGGACAGCCCUCUGAUCUAAGUACUAUAAUUGCCCCUAUUUUAUAGAUGAGAACACUGAGGCUUAGAAAGGUUAAGGACUAACUUUGCUAAGUAUAGAAAACUUAAAACAUCACUAUGACUCAUCAUAAUUUUAUGAGUUUGUAAAAUUGAUAAUUAGCACAUUGCAUCUUAGACGAUAUGUAAUUAGUUAAUGGAAUGCUUCCUCAAUGGAGAUCUUCAAUCAUUGUAUCUUUAUGUGUUAAUUGCCCAUGGGCUAUAGAAUUUUUAGAGACAUCCUCAUUUUUUUUCUAUUCAAACAGUAUCAAACUGAUUUAAAAGAGCAGCUCCCGCCGCAUUUAUUCCCUCUCUCUCUUCUCUCCAUUUUUCUCCAUAGCGCUUAUCACCCCCAACAUUUAUAUAUCUUACUCAUUUGUUUAUUGCCUCCCCUCAUCAAUAUAAUGUAAACUCCCCAAAGGCAGGGACUUUUAACCAUUUUGCUCACUCUCAUAUCCCCAGGGACUAGAACAAUAACCAGCACUUCGUAUGCUUUGCAAAUUAUAAAGUGUUUUACAAACAUAAGGUCUAUUAUUGUUAUUAUUAUUGCCAAGUGUCUAGUUUGCCUGAAGAUAAACCUUAAGGUUCAUGGCAGAAACUGUUCUCUCGAAAAUCUGGCAAAUAGGACCUGCUCAAGCGCCAGGGAAAAUGUGAUGAAGGUUAAAAGCAGUGGAGAUUAUUUUCCUAACAUGUUAAUAAAGCUCCUUAUCAGUAAGUUCAAAGACAAGUUAACUUUUUUAAAUUUUGGCAAAAAAUGGAACGUUCAAAGGCAAUUACAUUAGCGUUUAAAACUUCCAAUGAGUUAACUAUCACUGAUUUAUUCAGUUAAUUAUUCUUUAUUUUGUUAGCAUAAAAGGUGUUUUCAAAUCUUCAUUUUAAUGAUUUUUCAGAUUAUAAAAGUAAUACAUGUUCAUUGAAGAAAAUUUGGAAAAUCAUUCUUAAAAAAUAAAAGAACAUAAAGAGCCUCCUCCAUCCCACCACUGCCCAGAGAGUUCGUGACCGUGGGUAUUUUAGUCUAUUUCCUUUUAAUCUUUUUCUAUGUGUGAAUAUUUUCUCUAGUUUUUUUUUUUUUCCCUUACAAAAUAAGGAUCAUAUUGUAGGCAGAGUUCUAGAACCUGCUUACCUGGUGGGGUUCCCCCCCCCGCUUAACAGUAUACUGAAAGUCUUUUCUGUUAUUAAAAUUUCUUUAAAAACAUGA